UAUUUCAAAUCUCAGUUUACACCUUCACACUCAUCUCUCUCUAUCCACCAUUGGCGUCGAGUUCGCCACUCAGACCUUGAAAGUCGAUGAAAAGGUUAUCAAGGCUCAGAUUUGGGACACCGCUGGUCAAGAAAGGUACUGUGCCAUCACCAGUGCAUACUACCGUGGAGCCGUUAGUAUAUGAUACUACCCGCCGUGCAACUAUUGAGAACGUAGACCGGUGGUUUAAGGAGCCUCAAGAACCACACAGACCCUAACAUUGUGGUGAUGCUCGUUGGUAACAAGUCUUAUCUGCGCCAUUUGCUAGCUGUUCCCACGGAAGAUGGGAAAUCCUAUGCUGAGCAGGGAUCGCUUUGGUGAUCCUCUUGUCUUGUAAUAAUAUUGACAUCUAUAUGAGUUUUAGACUACACAUUAUUAUAUAGUGUUUCUUUAGCUUUA